UGGCUCCCGGCCCGGCCGGGGCUGCUCCGAGCAGGGACAGGAGCCGACCCCGGCCGCCCCCCCCCCCCCCCCCCCCGCCCCGGGCUCCCCCCAUUGCGGCUUAUGGGGUUGGGGAUGCUGCGGCGGGGGGCGAAGCCCUGGGAGCUGGGGGGGGGGGAAGUUUGGGGGGGGGGGGGUGCAGCCGUAGCACUGGCCUGAGUCACGCUUGUGCAUGUCCCUUCUGGGGGCGACGUCCCCCCCCCCACCCCAGGGCAGGGAGGGGGGGAUCCCUCCCGGGUGUUUUUGGGGUGCAGAUCCCUCCGGUGGGAGCAUCCCCACGGCACGGUACAGCCUCGCUGCUGAGCAUCCCCGGGGGUGCUGCACCCUCCGCCGACCCCUGCACCUAACGCAGGAGAGGGGUGCCACCUUGCACCCCGACACCCCAAUCCCGGCGGGGCAGGCGGGGAGCCCCAGCCACCCCCAGUCACUCGCCCGCCCCGGCAGAGGCUGGUACAGUUCGUUACGUCCAGACCGGAAUGUACUUUGUGUUCGAAGUGGCCCCAGGCCAGGACGGCAAAGCCGGACUUUAUUUAUCCUCCCCGCUCCGGCCCCGCUGCAUCCUGCCCUCGCUUGUGCGGGGUUGGAUCUCCGGUGGGGCUGGGGGACCUCUGGACCCUGCCCCCCCCCCCCCCCCCCCAACUCAUCUCCAGUCAGGGGGUGCAGGGAUUUUCCCUCUUUUCCCCAGGGUGGAAAUAAUCUGGGAAAAUAUUUGUGUCCUUUCGACCGGUAAAAGCCGUCCCCGGUGUCUGGAGGGAGACGUGGACUUGGGGACCGAUCCAGCCCCGGCAAAGCCUCUGGCUGGAGGUACCCCCGCCUGCUUGCAUGAGGUUUUUUUGCAACGAGGGCCGGCGUUUCGGAUCGCAACCCGGAAAUUUAUGGAUUGGAAAUGCGGGGGGAAAGGGCCAGCCCUGGCCACGCUGGGCGACGGGACAGGAUCAGGCCUGCGAUGGAGCAGGGGCUGCUCCGGGGGUCCCCCCCGCGUGCCGGGGAUGCCUCAGCCCCUCUGCCGGUAAAAAUUUAUGGCGGGAGCCGUGAGUCCGAGCAAAGAGAGGGGGGUCGCAGCCGGAGGAGGGAUCACCCAGGGCUGGAUCCGGCCGCUUGCCACCGGCCGGGCUCCACGAUGACACCCAGUAUCCCACCCAUGGCCUCUCCGAACUGCCAUUCUCACAUCACAUAAGGUGCUCGGGGGCUGGCACGAGGAAGGACAUCGCCGGCAAAAGGGAGGUCUCUGGGAUUUGCUUCCCGGUUCCGGUGGGGGGCAAGGGUUUCCCCCAGACCCCUUGUCCUUUCGGGGCCGGGUGACGGUCGCGUGGCGGGCACAGGGCUGGGGCAGGACAUGUGCGGCCAGCUGGAUGGCGAGGGGGAACAAGCAGUGCCCCUGGCAGCCGCCCCGAAGCCGGCUGGGAUUAUUUAUGGAGCAGAUUUCCUCCAGGUUGUGUUACAGGGAUGGGGGGGACGGGGCAGAGCCCGGCACAGGGGAAAGGGGGUGUGUUUUGGGCAUCCCACCACCCAAGAAAGCAGAGCGAGCCAGGGGGUCCGGCACUGGUAUCGCGGUGGUUUGGAAGAUGUCUUUUAAAAAAAAACACUCUGGUGUUUUCUUCCCAUGUAUUUUGCCUUUUUUUUUUUUUUUUCCUAUGCAAACAAACUUAGCUUUAUUGUGGUGCAAGGACAAAGCAGGCUGGACCCCCCCUGCCGCCGCCGCCAUCAGUCCCAUGCUAUUUUUCAGGGCUUAGGUGUUAUCUAAGGGGCCUGCAUAAAAUUAAGCUGCGGGGUUUCCUGAUACUGGAAACCCACAAUACUUCUUUGGUAAAUGGAAAUUUAAAGCUCUUGGAGGCUGGGUGGGAAAUGUUUAAAACCAAAAUGCAAGAUUCACCUGGGUUAUUUUAGAGAGGGAAAAAUGAAACGUCAUGAAAAUAAAUCUUUUUUUUUCUAAA